UGUCUGGGUGCACAUAUCUGCAUCUGACUAUUUCAGCUGCUUGUUAGGUCUUUCCGGGGGCAGUCACAAUAGGCCCUUUUUGUGAGCACACCAUAGCCUAAGUAAUAGUGUCAGGUCUUGGGGCCUCUCCUUGAGCUGGAUCCCAAUUUGGGUCAGUCGCUGGACCUCCUUUUCUACAGGAUCUUCUCUAUUUUUUCCCCUCAGUUCUUUCUGAGAGGAACAAUUAUGGGUAAGAGAUUUUGACUGUGGAAUGGCAACCCCAUCCCUCACUUGAUGCCUUGGUUUUCUGCUGGAGGUGGACUCUACAACUUCCCUCUCUUUACUGAAGAUGUUAUUAUUUUUUCAAGACCAUCUUGGAUUGCAAUUUUGCCUGUCUUCACUCCUCGGCUGACUGCAGUUUGACUAUAUGGAAUUAACACGCCUGCCAAUUCCUGUCACCAUGGGCUUGCGACAGAGUCAUCAUAUAGAAUGAAAGGCUGAUUAAAUUUGCUAUGCCACUAA